GAUGAAGAACGUAGCGAAAUGCGAUAAGUAAUGUGAAUUGCAGAAUUCAGUGAAUCAUCGAAUCUUUGAACGCACAUUGCGCCCGCCAGUAUUCUGGCGGGCAUGCCUGUCCGAGCGUCAUUUCAACCAUCAAGCCCCGGGCUUGUGUUGGGGACCUGCGUCCGACGCAGGCCCUGAAAACCAGUGGCGGGCUCGCUGUCCACACCGAGCGUAGUAACUAACCUCGCUAUGGAGUGGCGCGGGCGCCUGCCGUAAAACCCCCAAUUUCACAAGGUUGACCUCGGAUCAGGUAGGAAUACCCGCUGAACUUAAGCAUAUCAAUAAGCGGAG
rnacentral:misc_RNA from 1 species